rnacentral:lncRNA from 1 species
UUUUUUUUUUUGUAGAGGAAUCUCACUGCAAGCUAAACAGAGGAGCACGAGCUUGGGCCGGAUUAGUAGCGUCCAGAGCCCAUUAAUCUCCGGGCCUCUACACCAGAGCACACAGGGCCGCAAUUAGCAGCCCACAUCGCGAAAGAAGAGCAGCAAAGCAAGCGGCCACUGAUUAAUUCCAGUGGUUCAUUUCAAUCAGACUUCAGUUCCUCAAAAAAAAAGAAGAGGAAAAUUCAAUCAGACUUCAAACUGCAAGACAUAGACCCCACACCGUAUAGCCACGUGCGGAUACGCGAGAAACC